rnacentral:snRNA from 1 species
AGCUUUGCACGGUGGCAGUAUUGUAGCCAAUGAGGUUUAUCCGAGGCGCGAUUAUUGCUAAUUGAAAAGUUUUUGCACAAAUAUGUCC